UCAGUCCUUUAAGUGAGGAGUGAUGAUUUCAUCACGACCUGACAUGUCCUUCGUUUCCAGUAAGGAAAACAAACAAAACCUCACAGUUUUGAAAAUAUAGCCCAGACAUGCUGAACGCUCAUAAAAGGGCAGAGAGACCAUGGAUGGAACAGAAAAAAUAGCUUAAAAUGUCAUCAGAAGCUGUUAUGAUCUUUGAGAACACAAGCCUCAGUCUUGAGCAGAAGAUAAGGAGCAGAAUGACCUUGCAUCCUCCAGCCAUAUACCUGAUGUUAACAGUCGAGGAACCCAAGGCCAACCCAAGGACUGUAUCGUGGUGUGCAUAGACCAAUAGGCAUCCAAUUGAUCAAGCUCAGUGAUGCUCUUGGGAAGAGAGACGACACUGCAGAGAUCCCAUUCAUCAGCUUUAGCAGUUGGGAAAGGAUGGGAGAACAGCUCAUCACAGAGCUCUGCAUCCUGCACCAUGCUCACGUCUGCUGGGAUGCUCUCACUUCAGAGGAAGCUGAGAGUUGAGUCCAACUCCAGGAACCUGAAGACCAGGCAAGCACUGCACAGUUCAGAUCCUUUUCAGUUAAGUAGAUCUUUUCAAUCCCAAAGUGAAUUUGAUUCUAUUUAUUCUAUUGCUGCUGCAUCUGUCAGUAGCGACUUUCUCAAGCCCUCAGGCUUCCAUCCAGCACCAGCC
rnacentral:lncRNA from 1 species